rnacentral:rRNA from 1 species
GAUGAACGCUAGCUACAGGCUUAACACAUGCAAGUCGAGGGACCGGCGCACGGGUGAGUAACACGUAUCCAACCUGCCCUUUACUCGGGGAUAGCCUUUCGCAAGAAAGAUUAAUACCCGAUGUAAAGGAUGGGGAUGCGUUACAUUAGGUUGUUGGUGAGGUAACGGCUAACCAAGCCUACGAUGGAUAGGGGUUCUGAGAGGAAGGUCCACUACAUUGGAACUGAGACACGGUCCAAAAUCCGACGGGAGGCAGCAGUGAGGAAUAGUGGUCAAUGGGGGUUAGCCUGAACCAGCCAAGUAGCGUGAAGGAUGAAGGCUUAUGGGUCGUAAACUUCUUUUAUAUAAGAAGAUGUAUUAUAUGAAUAAGGAUCGGCUAACUCCGUGCCAGCAGCCGCGGUAAUAC